rnacentral:rRNA from 1 species
UACGUAGGGUGCAAGCGUUAAUCGGAAUUACUGGGCGUAAAGCGUGCGUAGGCGGUUAUUUAAGUCUGUUGUGAAAUCCCCGGGCUCAACCUGGGAAUGGCAAUGGAUACUGGAUAGCUAGAGUGUGAUAGAGGAUGGUGGAAUUCCCGGUGUAGCGGUGAAAUGCGUAGAGAUCGGGAGGAACAUCAGUGGCGAAGGCGGCCAUCUGGAUCAACACUGACGCUGAGGCACGAAAGCGUGGGGAGCAAACAGG